rnacentral:rRNA from 1 species
CCCAUGGUGUACUUAGUACGGCGAGUGAGCGGUAAAAGCUCAAAUUUGAAAUCUGGUACUUUCAGUGCCCGAGUUGUAAUUUGUAGAAUUUGUCUUUGAUUAGGUCCUUGUCUAUGUUCCUUGGAACAGGACGUCAUAGAGGGUGAGAAUCCCGUUUGGCGAGGAUACCUUUUCUCUGUAAGACUUUUUCGAAGAGUCGAGUUGUUUGGGAAUGCAGCUCAAAGUGGGUGGUAAAUUCCAUCUAAAGCUAAAUAUUGGCGAGAGACCGAUAGCGAACAAGUACAGUGAUGGAAAGAUGAAAAGAACUUUGAAAAGAGAGUGAAAAAGUACGUGAAAUUGUUGAAAGGGAAGGGCAUUUGAUCAGACAUGGUGUUUUUUGCAUGCACUCGCCUCUCGUGGGCUUGGGCCUCUCAAAAAUUUCACUGGGCCAACAUCAAUUCUGGCAGCAGGAUAAAUCAUUAAGAAUGUAGCUACUUCGGUAGUGUUAUAGCUUUUUGGAAUACUGUUAGCCGGGAUUGAGGACUGCGCUUCGGCAAGGAUGUUGGCAUAAUGGUUAAAUGCCGCCCGUCUUGAACCAACGGACCA